CCCAGUCCUGGGAUUUUCAGGUGUUUGCAUUUGGUGAUCACAACUGAACACAGAGACUGAACUCACCAUGGAGCUUGUGCUGAGCUUGGUUUUACCUGUUGUUGUUUUGAAAGGUGUCCAGUGUGAGGUGCGGCUGGUGGAGUCUGGGGGAGGCUUGGUUCAGCCUGGGGGGUCUCUGAGACUCUCCUGCGCAGCUUCUGGAUUCAACUUCAGUAGCUAUAGCAUGCACUGGGUUCGUCAGGCUCCAGGGAAGUGACUGGAGUGGGUCUCAACUAUUGGUACUGCUGGUAGCACAUACUGUGCAGACUCCGUGAAGGGCCGAUUCACCAUCUCCAGAGAUAACGCCAAGAACUCACUGUUUCUGCAAAUGAACAGCCUGAGAGCCGAGGACAUGGCCGUGUAUUACUGUAAGAGUGACACAGGAUACAUAGAGGAUGACAGUUUUUGGAGAUGGCUAAUCCUGAAAUACUGGGCUCCUGUGCACCUGCAGCCUUUCUUCUCUUUGGACAUGGAGAUCCUGUAUCCUCAGAGAAGAGUGAUGCCUCAUUGUCGCUCCCAUAGCCCAUGCAAACAAUUCCUCCAAGACAGUUGUGUGUUUUCCUGCUACCAAGGGACCUCCAUGAAGAGAAAUCCAGAAAAGGAUAAGAAUAUGAACAAAGAAGCAAAACCUGGGGAGCAGCAGGUAGGGGAUCAGCAGGGUCCUGGGACUGGGGACCCCCUAACCUGUUGCCGCUGCUACCAAGAAGAGGAUCCUCCAGGUCCAGUCCAUGGCGAGGAGCUGUGCUCUAGGGGCUUCUCCGAGGAGGGUGUGGUUGUUGGGUGA